CCCUGCCUCGCCCACCUCGGGUUUCCCCCUCCAGGCAGCCCUGAGCUGCUGUUCUCAAAGAGUGUUCCGGGGACGCUUGGGGUUCCUCUGGAGAUCAGAACCUAUUUAGAGCAGGACAGAUCCUUUUUGAAAAAGCCCUUUUUUCGUGUUCAUUGUCUCCCAGGUAUUCGGGGAACUUCGCCAGAGGACACAAGGUCUAGGGUAUCAUGACUGCUGGUAAGCAGUGAUGCUCCCCCAGGGGCUAUCCACUAAUAAUGACAGGAGUCAUGACCACGCUGGUUAAUAUUCAGUGCUUUCUAUAGGCCAGGCACUGUACUAGGUGAGCCGACUUCACCUUGACAACUUCAUUAGUUCUCAAGCCUGUGAAGGAGGUUGUGUAAGUAUGACAUCACUCCGGGCACUAAAGGCACCUGUGCUGGUUACUCUGCUUCAACAGCUCUUGGCGUCCAUGUAAGUGUGACAUGGUAGCAGUCGUCCACAGAAAGAAACCUCUUUGGGGUCCACAGCAGUUCUUUAGAGGGAAUUCUUAAUCCCUGAGGCCCAAACGUUUCAGAACUGCUGUCCUGCCAGGAAUGACAUAACUGAAAAUUUCACUGUAGUGAAGUCAGUUCUGCUAUACUGACGCCGUCCUGCUAUGUUUGUCUCCUUACUACUUUACAUGGAUUAUCGUGCUCAGUCCUCAUGGGAACUCAGGGAAAUAGCCAGAAUUGUCCUGUUUUACAGAUGAAGAUGCUUAAAGUCACAAAUAGCUCAGAGGCCAGGGCUUCAAGUCACAGAAUCUUGGCUCUGAAAGAAUAUGGGGAUGCUGAGGAGAGAGCAGUACAGUGUGCUCUGGCUGAAGGCAGCAGUGAGAGUUUAAUCACGGACCUCUUGACCCACAGUUUCCUCAUCUGUAAAACAGAGGCACAACCUCCUUCACAGGCUUGAGAACUAAUGAAGUUGGAAAAUAGCCAUGUUACCAGCAACUACUGCUCCAAGGAUGACACGCUGAUAGGAAGACCAAGAAACAGAAAAGAAAGGCCCUCACACCUCCUCCUGCCUUCCAGACUCUCUAGUGCCCCCCUCCACCGGCUGAAAGGAAACUAAAGGGAAGCAAGCUAGCCAAAGAGAAUGGCACUUCGAUCAUCAUACUGAGUCCGCACAGAAGGCAUCCACAUGGAAAACUGUACCGGUAGGAUCCUAUAAGAUUCCAGCAGAGAGAGUAACUGCUGCAUGGGACCAGUCUUGCCACUGAGGAAAGCUAGAUAAACUAGACACAAUGUCUUUGAAUCUGUUUUGAACUUGUGAGAGUCACCAUUUUUGAAUAUGAGGAAUUAUGGGACUAGGCUGGAGGCAAGGAAAGAAUACAAACACAGACACUGGCGUUUAAGGCCACACUUCUGAGAAAGUAUCCACUGACUCAAGAGAGAUAAAGCGUCAGCAGCACUUUUAACAGUCUCACAGAGCUGGGAAAAGACGGACAACUCAGUUCAGACAGCUCAGGGAGCAUGAGCCUCCUUAAGCCAGUCCCCAUGCUUUGGAUGAAGACCUGCACGUCACAGGAGUUUGGGAAGUCUGGUGUGAACCAGAAACAGAUCACCUCCGCAGAAACUGAAGCCAAUCUGUGCCCCACUGAACUCAAUGCCUCACUGAACUCACAUGAUCUGGGGUUAUUAGUACCCCUGAGAGAGCGCCCAGAAGCAGAGUGGUGGAUAUGCUCUCUGGACGUACAUCACUGCUUUUCCAUAGCCAGUAUCAGGCACCCAGUCAAAACUUGGUAUAUGAGGAUCAAGACUUAGAGACUGGAAAUCAAGAGAAACUAUGAACAGUAGAAGUCCAUGAGGAGAUUCAGAUGAUAGAGGAAUAAAAGCAGACUUUAAAUAGGUGAUGUGUGAAAGGGUUUAUAUGACAAGAUUGACAAUUUUGUCAGGCAAGUUGAAGCUGUAAAAAAGAACCAAAUGGAAAUUAACAAUAACAAGUAGACAUUAUCGAGAACUGUCACUUUCCAUGCUUUGCAUUUCUGAAUUGUAUGAAUUUUUUUAGUACACAUAACUGUAUUUUGGAAUCAGAAAAGAAAACAUGGGAAAAUUUAUCAGUAACAACAGCAAACUAGUGACUUGAAGUCCUUUUCACAGUGGACAGAUGCAAACUUUGUCACGUGAUAUAGGUGGAUUUCAUUGCUAUAGAAAAUGUGUUCGUCUCAUCAUCACCUAAGAGCCUUUUUUUGAAAAGGGGAAAAAAGCUCUUGCUCUAACAGACGGGGGGCUGGUGCGUGAGCUGCACCUUCGCAGCCGUCCACGGUUCUGCCUCAUUGAAGGGGGAUGUGCUUCAGUGACCCAAAGCCCAGCGCCAGACAAAACCGAGAAUUUGUAAAGCAGCAGCAUUCUCAAAUCACCUCCACAGCUGUGAAAACCAACCUACCGGUGGGGCCAGCGUGAUUAAAUGAGGAAAAAAACCUCAGAGACAUUUUAGAAGACAAUGGAACAUUAACUGUGUGGAAAGAGAUAAGGAUCACCCAUUCUUCAAUUAACAGACAAUAGGCUCAGAGAAACAGUUUGUACCACAUAAAGUAGAAAAAUAAUUACUAAAGAGAAUAAAGAAA